CGCGUAUUUCGCCCAGGCGGAGCUCGACCGCCGCUUCAAGCCGUGAAGGCGUUCAUCGACGAACACCGCGAUGCGUACGGGGUCGAGCCGAUCUGCAAGGUGAUGCAGAUCGCCCCG
rnacentral:ncRNA from 1 species